rnacentral:rRNA from 1 species
UACAGAGGUCCCAAGCGUUGUUCGGAUUCAUUGGGCGUAAAGGGUGCGUAGGCGGCGCGGUAAGUCGGGUGUGAAAUCUCGGAGCUUAACUCCGAAACUGCAUUCGAUACUGGCGUGCUUGAGGACUGGAGAGGAGACUGGAAUUUACGGUGUAGCGGUGAAAUGCGUAGAUAUCGUAAGGAAGACCAGUGGCGAAGGCGGGUCUCUGGACAGUUCCUGACGCUGAGGCACGAAGGCCAGGGGAGCAAACGGG